CAGAUAGUAGCGUAAUUGGUAACGUACUUGCAUUGGGAGUAAGACAUUAGGGGUUCAAGUCCCUUCUAUCUGA